AAGAGACAGCAUGACAUAGAAGAAAUACCAAGGAGUGCAUGCAACAAACCAACAAAUAACAAAUAGCCAAACUGCAUCAGAGCACAGGGGGCGAGGUCACAGGAAGGAGUGUAUAAAACAUUUGGAGGUGAGGCAUCACAUCAUCCCCCUCCAUCCAUCACCGGUACAGACGCUCUCCUUCACUCAUCACAGCAGAGAUGGCAGCAGCAGUUUCCUCCAGAAGCAGAGGAGCAGCGGGGGGGAUGUUCUUCCUCUUCACUCUGCUGUGUCUGGUUUGCAUCGCAGCUUCACUGGUGGAUAAGAACGACCUGGAAAAGCUCAAGGAAAGCCUUCAGAAAGAUGAACAAGACCUGGACAACUUGAAGGCUCAAAGGGACAGCUUUUCAGUGUUCACUAAUGCAUAUUGGAGACUCCUUGACCCAAUGAUGGUGUUUAUGAGGAAAACAGGGGCAGGAUCACAUGAAUACAUUGCAUUAGCGGAGGGAUUUCUAAAGAGCACUGAGGACUUCAUGGAGGAAGCCCGGCCUCUCAUAAAAAGGGAUUAUGAGGAGUUAGAUGCUAGGAUUUUGGAGCUUGAACUGACACUGAGAGCAAUGAAGAUAUUAGUCCAAGCCCUGGAGGAGCACCAGGCUGAAUUGUAACCUCCCUGUCAAUCAGUGCCUCCAUCUCUGAUACUGCAUCAAUGUAUCUGUGAGGUUUCUAUUUCUUACUGAGCUGCUUCAUCUUUAUAUCAUAAUGCACUGGCUUUAAAAUCAUUCAUUUAUUUCAUGACAAAAAGGUUAUUGGGGAAGGACCUGUGUUGACCUGCAACUGUAAAUGAAUACAUGUACUGUUCAAAUAAUCAAUGUUGCUGCUCAAAAUAAUAAAAACACUGUUUGUAUAACA